rnacentral:rRNA from 1 species
UACGUAGGGUCCAAGCGUUAUCCGGAAUCACUGGGCGUAAAGGGCUCGUAGGCGGUUUGUCGCGUCGGGAGUGAAAACACCGGGCUUAACUCGGUGCUUGCUUUCGAUACGGGCAGACUAGAGGCAUGCAGGGGAGAACGGAAUUCCUGGUGUAGCGGUGAAAUGCGCAGAUAUCAGGAGGAACACCGGUGGCGAAGGCGGUUCUCUGGGCAUGUCCUGACGCUGAGGAGCGAAAGUGUGGGGAGCGAACAGG